rnacentral:rRNA from 1 species
GCAGCCGCGGUAAUACGUAGGGGGCGAGCGUUGUCCGGAAUUACUGGGCGUAAAGGGUGCGUAGGUGGCACUUUAAGUUGGAUGUGAAAUCCCCGUGCUUAACAUGGGAGCUGCAUCCAAUACUGGAGAGCUAGAGUGCAGGAGAGGUAAGCGGAAUUCCUAGUGUAGCGGUGAAAUGCGUAGAUAUUAGGAGGAACACCAGUGGCGAAGGCGGCUUACUGGACUGUAACUGACACUGAGGCACGAAAGCGUGGGGAGCAAACAGGAUUAGAUACCCC